AUUGAACGCUGGCGGCAUGCCUUACACAUGCAAGUCGAACGGCAGCACGGGUGCUUGCACCUGGUGGCGAGUGGCGAACGGGUGAGUAAUGCAUCGGAACGUACCCUGGAGUGGGGGAUAACUAUCCGAAAGGAUAGCUAAUACCGCAUAUUCUAUGAGUAGGAGAGCGGGGGAUCUUCGGACCUCGCGCUCUGGGAGCGGCCGAUGUCAGAUUAGCUAGUUGGUGGGGUAAAGGCCUACCAAGGCUACGAUCUGUAGCGGGUCUGAGAGGAUGAUCCGCCACACUGGGACUGAGACACGGCCCAGACUCCUACGGGAGGCAGCAGUGGGGAAUUUUGGACAAUGGGGGCAACCCUGAUCCAGCCAUGCCGCGUGAGUGAAGAAGGCCUUCGGGUUGUAAAGCUCUUUCGGCCGGGAAGAAAUCGCCAUUUCUAAUAUAGGUGGUGGAUGACGGUACCGGAAUAAGAAGCACCGGCUAACUACGUGCCAGCCGCCGCGGUAACAC
rnacentral:rRNA from 1 species